UACGUAGGGGGCGAGCGUUAUCCGGAUUCAUUGGGCGUAAAGCGCGCGUAGGCGGCCUGUUAGGUCGGGGGUCAAAUGCCGGGGCUCAACCCCGGUCCGCCCCCGAUACCGGCAGGCUUGAGUCUGGUAGGGGAAGGCGGAAUUCCCAGUGUAGCGGUGGAAUGCGCAGAUAUUGGGAAGAACACCAGUGGCGAAGGCGGAUUACUGGACGACAACUGACGGUGAGGCGCGAAAGCGUGGGGAGCAAACAGG
rnacentral:rRNA from 1 species